rnacentral:rRNA from 1 species
AUUGAACGCUGGCGGCAGGCUUAACACAUGCAAGUCGAGCGGGGGAAGGUAGCUUGCUACUGGACCUAGCGGCGGACGGGUGAGUAAUGCUUAGGAAUCUGCCUAUUAGUGGGGGACAACAUCUCGAAAGGGAUGCUAAUACCGCAUACGUCCUACGGGAGAAAGCAGGGGAUCUUCGGACCUUGCGCUAAUAGAUGAGCCUAAGUCGGAUUAGCUAGUUGGGGGGGUAAAGGCCUACCAAGGCGACGAUCUGUAGCGGGUCUGAGAGGAUGAUCCGCCACACUGGGACUGGGACACGGCCCAGACUCCUACGGGAGGCAGCAGUGGGGAAUAUUGGACAAUGGGGGGAACCCUGAUCCAGCCAUGCCGCGUGUGUGAAGAAGGCCUUAUGGUUGUAAAGCACUUUAAGCGAGGAGGAGGCUACUUUAGUUAAUACCUAGAGAUAGUGGACGUUACUCGCAGAAUAAGCACCGGCUAACUCUGUGCCAGCAGCCGCCGCCG